GUGAACGCUGGCGGUAGGCCUAACACAUGCCGGUCGCACGGCAGCACAGUAAGAGCUUGCUCUUACGGGUGGCGAGUGGCGGACGGGUGAGGAAUACAUCGGAAUCUACUUUUUCGUGGGGGAUAACGUAGGGAAACUUACGCUAAUACCGCAUACGACCUACGGGUGAAAGCAGGGGAUCUUCGGACCUUGCGCGAUUGAAUGAGCCGAUGUCGGAUUAGCUAGUAGGCGGGGUAAAGGCCCACCAAGGCGACGAUCCGUAGCUGGUCUGAGAGGAUGAUCAGCCACACUGGAACUGAGACACGGUCCAGACUCCUACGGGAGGCAGCAGUGGGGAAUAUUGGACAAUGGGCGCAAGCCUGAUCCAGCCAUACCGCGUGGGUGAAGAAGGCCUUCGGGUUGUAAAGCCCUUUUGUUGGGAAAGAAAAGCAGCAGGUUAAUACCCCGCUGUUCUGACGGUACCCAAAGAAUAAGCACCGGCUAACUUCGUG
rnacentral:rRNA from 1 species